CGUGUAGGUGGCUUAGUAAGUCAGGUGUGAAAUCCUUCCGCUUAACGGAAGAAGUGCACUUGAAACUGCUUUGAUAGAGUACGAGAGAGGAAGGUGGAAUUCCUGGUGUAGAGGUGAAAUUCAUAGAUAUCGGGAAGAACACCGGUGGCGAAGGCGGCCUUCUGGCUCGAUACUGACGCUGAGACGCGAAAGCGUGGGGAGCAAACA
rnacentral:rRNA from 1 species